rnacentral:rRNA from 1 species
AUGACACUUGGAAGAAGAGCAUCUCGCACCGUUGGAUCCAUCCAACCAGCACCUACUGCUCGGAAGAUUACUGCUCCUGAUGGCACUUAUGAUGGGUACAUAAGAGGAGUUUCAAAUCUUCCACCUGAUAUCCCGAAUAAUGAAGACCGCCCAAUCAUUCAACCAGUUGGAAAGAUGCAUUGGAAAGACAUUCCUGUUGUUCGAAAGGGCAGACGGCCUUCAAGUGUAUUGACAUGCCUUCUGAAACGUAAUCAUCCAGGUGUUGUGGAUUAUGAUGGUGCUAAGCUAAGGUACAAGUAUGGAGAUGCAUACUCAGAGAAGGCAAAGCAACAUGUUAGAAGAUGUUUUGAUGAGUGGUGUAGUGAAGAGUGGAUUGCAAAAUCUAAGAAACAUCGUGAAAAUCGUGUUAGCUCAAAGUUCAAGCCUCACAAAGGUGGUUCCAACUCCAUGACUACUAUAAGUCAAAAAAAUGUCUGA